AAUUUUCCUCCCUACAUAUUUGAGAUGAAGAUUUAGGAGAGUCAACUCUGGUAAGAAUUCUCGCACUUCACUGACUUCUGCAAACUCUCUCAGGAUCCCAUCUGCAGGCUCUGAGAUAAGGGAACUGAAGCACAGAAAGUGAAAAACCUACUCAAGAUCACACCAUCACCAGAUGACGGAGCAAGCUGGGAUUCAGAUGCAGGCAACUUGAUGACAAAAACGACAUCUACUGUUAUGCCUGCUAGAAACCAUAAAAGCUAACACGUUUAUUGGCUGUUUGCUGGGCUCUGUUCUAGGGCAUUACAAGGGUGAAUUCACUUAACCUCACAGCAGUCUGACAAGGUGGCCGUGACUGUCACUGUGUCAGAGAAGAGCUCGCUGCUUCCCUCACCCGUCGGCGGGAGGCAGAGCUGGGACUGAUUGCAGGCACUCAGCUCUAGAGCCUAUGCUCCCAACUGUCACACAAAACCACCCCUGAGCUUCCAGGAUAUCAUUCUCAGUAUUUUGAUACAUGCUUGAAACGUUUCAUAAUUC
ensembl:lncRNA